CAAUAGCGUAUAUUAAAGUUGUUGCGGUUAAAAAGCUCGUAGUUGGAUCUCGGCAGGCAGGGGGUGGUUCGCUCUUAGCGCUACUGCCCCAUUUGCCUGUGUGAUUGGCGGAGGUUUCGGGGUGCUCUUCGUUGAGUGACCCGGGGCGCCGUCAGGUUUACUUUGAAAAAAUUAGAGUGCUCAAAGCAGGCUUUUCACGCUUGAAUAUUCGUGCAUGGAAUAAUGGAAUAGGAACUCGUUUCUAUUUUGUUGGUUUUCGGAAAUCGAGUUAAUGAUUAAUAGGGACAAUUGGGGGCAUUAGUAUUCAGACGACAGAGGUGAAAUUCUUGGACCGUCUGAAGACUAACUACUGCGAAAGCAUUUGCCAAGAGUGUUCUCAUUAA
rnacentral:rRNA from 1 species